GCCUAGAACACGGGGAGUCAAGGAAUCGUUGUCAGUAUUGAGAAUAAAAACGAUUCUACACCUAGGACUAGGCUCGGAAACACAAGACUAAUAACCACGCCCCACCCCGUAACAGGUACUACUUGAUUUGUUGUUGCAGUUUAACACUAUUUGAAUAGAAGGGCGAGGUGUAUCCUCCAGGAUUUGUUUAAUGUGCUCCUGUGAGCACCAUAAUAUAACAAAUAAUAUUUAGCAAGCACAUUUGGUACGCCACCCACAUUGCCAUUCAAGACCUUACGCCACAACAAUUUCUAUUGUGGAGCAGACGGCUACAUUACAUUAUACACAUGCAGGGGCAUCAAGAGGAGCGCUAAGCUGGGCUUUACCUCCAGUGCCAUCACCCCUGGUGAAGUCUCCACCCUGGAUCAUAAAGUCCUUGAUGACACGAUGGAAUUUGCUGCCUUUGUAGCCGAAUCCUUUCUGUAAAGAACAAUGAGUUGUUCAAUGUGUUUAACUCAAGCUAUGAAUACAAUCGAUCAUUAUUCGAGUAGGGAUGAGAGGAAAUAGUAAAACAAUUGAAGGGAGAUUAAUUUAUGGAGGUGACGUGACAUAAUGACAUCAUGUGGCCUACUUAAAACUGUAUGGUAAGUUUACUUAUUAAGGAUUAAGAUGACUGCCAUUGAACUUGACAUUUAUAAAUCAAGCAUGAACCCAGAAUGAGGCCAGCAGGUUCACAGCACGCUACAUUAUACAGUCCAUUAGUAGUAGUAGUAGUAGUAGUAGUAGUUGGUGUCCAAACAACACCCAAGAUAAGAAACAAUAGUUGUUUCAAGGCCUACAUUUUGCAAUGUUGCACAGCAUCUUGAGCCAAGGGAUACUGGACAUUAAGAAAGAGGUCCUCCCAAGCCUAACUUUCGACACCGUGCUUACGCUCUCCUUCCUUGGUGUACCCAUGCUUACACGGCCACAAGAGCUAGGCAUCAAAGCCUUGACUGUCGCAGUUUUAGCA